UCUUUGCAAUGGGACCAUGCAAAAGCCUCAAGCUUACUAACUACAAGUACACAGCGGUAAUGUCAAUUCACAUUUGCUACUGCAUCACGUGUUUGGAAGUUUGUGCCUUCUCUCCGAUAUGACGUCUGAGAAGUUAAUCAGGGGAGAAACAUCUGCCUUGUUUCAAAUUGGCAACUUGCUUCACUGCCAAGUCUAAGGUCAACACGUUUACUACGCGAUACUACAUGUUGACAUGGAGUUGGAAACAAAAUCCCUAAGGUUUGAGAGAGAGAGACAGCAACAAAGGUCUAAUAUUUGAAGAUUUAACUGAUACCUGGAGAUCUUAGGUGUUGUUCUCAGCAGUAGAGUUGACAAAGAUGGUAAGCUGUGCACUAGGGGUGUCAAACAUGCGGCCCGCGGACCAAAACUGGCCCUCAAAGUGCAAAAAUUACAGAGAGGACAUUAACUGCAGAUUUUAAAUUGUAAAACUAUAAAUUUAAAAUAAAGUUGUUUUGAUCAUAGACUAAAAUA